UGGAGCCUACGAUGGCACUGUACGUCCUGAGGCAUCUCGUGUGUCCUGCCUCAAUAGGGAGUGACGUAUCCGCUCAAUGGGAAGCAUAUCCAGCAACCCCCGCCCCCUCUACAACCCCCUUAAUACCUAUAUUUGGCUUCUAUCAAUUACUGCAUAUAUAAAUACGAAUAAUACGUGCGCAUUCAUACACGCGUAUUUAUUUAGCUGCGAGAGACGUCACUGGGGAACUGGCAAUGAUCAUCAUACUCUUUGUGAAUGGAGGGAAAAUGGAGGACGAGGGAAAAUUCUGACAGUCGUUCCACAUUCGUUGGGGUAGAUUUUUUUAUCGUUAUCGACGCCAAUGAAUUCCAGACAGGGAGUAAAUCGAGCUCGGACUCGUUGUGGGAACCAACCGGGGGUUUUCAUCGCUUUGGAGAAUCGACGAGGAGUCAUAACUCGGGCAUGCUUUUAAUCUAUCGACAUUUCAGGAAGAAACGAUACAGGCCGUGGAGCAACUUUUUUUUCGUAGUGUACGGGAAACGUGAUUUUUGAUGUUGUAAUUU